CAUAUGUUUCAUUUUCUCUAUU
rnacentral:miRNA from 1 species